GUUAUAUUGGGAUGAAAACAAAAGUGUGCCUCCAGUUCAGUUUGGAGUGUGAUCCCUAGGAACCGGAAUGAAUAAAAUAGGCCGGGAAGGCUUGCAUGCCUUACAUCCUUAAUGCAGCUGGUGUGCCGCGCUGCUCGAAGGCAGAGACUUGGCGUCAUGGUCCUUAGUGGACCGGCCUUUAUCUCAGCAUUAAGAUCCCUGAUGGCAAAUAACAGUGAUUGUGCCUCAUUGGAAAAUACUAUGGCUGCCAUUGUACUUCUUAAGAGAUUCCCCACCUCCUUCUCUUUCCCUGCAUUCAUUCCAACAUACUCUCUUGUAGAAUGUUCUCCACUCCUCUUCACUCAGAGGGAGGCAAAGAAUUGGUCUACUCUCCAAGGAAAACUUCAUAGUAUAGCCAGGGACUGUGCCUGGCCAGAGUCUGCUGUUGCUAAGAAAAUCAAUUCAAUAAAUUUAAUUCAUUAAAAAACGUCCAUGAUUCAAAACACUACUAAAGCAUCACAUUAUUAUUUACGUUGAAAAGUGGGACUGUAAACAGCCAAUGUUUAAUUUGAAGAAAUUAUUUGAGUUAUUGGACAUGAAUUCAAAUCACUUUUAUUAAAUAACUCCUUGUGCCCAUGACUAUGCUAUGUGCCAGGUUCCUGAUUUUAGUGGAAGCAUCACUGCUCAUGGGAAACUUACUCUAUAGCAAUGAAUAUGGUAACUAUCAUUUAGUAAGUGCCCCCUUUUGUGCUAUUUGCUACUUUGCAUACACCAAUACAUGAACUAUUCCCCGUCCCCAGUGUUCUGUGCAUUAGUUGCCUGAAGAUGACAAUCAGAGACUUGAAAAUGUUAAGAUACUUCUGGUAGUCAUGUCUGGGUAGAGCUGCAAUUCAAAUUUUUGUCUAAUAGCCAUAAAUCUAGUUCACAUUUGAUGAAGAUUUGAUGUUGCUUUACCCCUUGAUUUCUAGUUUCCCAUUUGUGAAAUAGACAGAACAAUGCCUACACUUGAGUCUCUUGUGGGGUGCAAUAAUAAAAAGAGAAGUCACUCCUUCUUCCA
rnacentral:lncRNA from 1 species